rnacentral:rRNA from 1 species
GAAUCAACGCUGGCGGCGUGCCUAACACAUGCAAGUCGAACGCGAGAGGGGCUUCGGCCCCCGAUUGAGUGGCGAACGGGUGAGUAACACGUGGGUGACCUACCUUCGUAGUGGGGGAUAACGUCCCGAAAGGGACGCUAAUACCGCAUAACAUUCCGCUUUUGAACAAGUGGAAAUCAAAGCCGGGGAUCGUAAGACCUGGCGCUUGAAGAGGGGCCCGCGUCCGAUUAGCUAGUUGGUGAGGUAACGGCNCACCAAGGCGACGAUCGGUAGCCGGCCUGAGA